CAGGCUUAACACAUGCAAGUCGAGGGGCAGCAUUUUAGUUUGCUUGCAAACUGAAGAUGGCGACCGGCGCACGGGUGAGUAACACGUAUCCAACCUGCCGAUAACUCCGGGAUAGCCUUUCGAAAGAAAGAUUAAUACCGGAUAGCAUACGAAUAUCGCAUGAUAUUUUUAUUAAAGAAUUUCGGUUAUCGAUGGGGAUGCGUUCCAUUAGUUUGUUGGCGGGGUAACGGCCCACCAAGACUACGAUGGAUAGGGGUUCUGAGAGGAAGGUCCCCCACAUUGGAACUGAGACACGGUCCAAACUCCUACGGGAGGCAGCAGUGAGGAAUAUUGGUCAAUGGGCGCGAGCCUGAACCAGCCAAGUAGCGUGAAGGAUGAAGGCUCUAUGGGUCGUAAACUUCUUUUAUAUGGGAAUAAAGUUUUCCACGUGUGGAAUUUUGUAUGUACCAUAUGAAUAAGGAUCGGCUAACUCCGUGCCAGCAGCCGCGGUAAUACGGAGGAUCCGAGCGUUAUCCGGAUUUAUUGGGUUUAAAGGGAGCGUAGGUGGAUUGUUAAGUCAGUUGUGAAAGUUUGCGGCUCAACCGUAAAAUUGCAGUUGAAACUGGCAGUCUUGAGUACAGUAGAGGUGGGCGGAAUUCGUGGUGUAGCGGUGAAAUGCUUAGAUAUCACGAAGAACUCCGAUUGCGAAGGCAGCUCACUAGACUGUCACUGACACUGAUGCUCGAAAGUGUGGGUAUCAAACAGGAUUAGAUACCCUGGUAGUCCACACAGUAAACGAUGAAUACUCGCUGUUUGCGAUAUACAGUAAGCGGCCAAGCGGAAGCAUUAAGUAUUCCACCUGGGGAGUACGCCGGCAACGGUGAAACUCAAAGGAAUUGACGGGGGCCCGCACAAGCGGAGGAACAUGUGGUUUAAUUCGAUGAUACGCGAGGAACCUUACCCGGGCUUAAAUUGCAACAGAAUAUAUUGGAAACAGUAUAGCCGUAAGGCUGUUGUGAAGGUGCUGCAUGGUUGUCGUCAGCUCGUGCCGUGAGGUGUCGGCUUAAGUGCCAUAACGAGCGCAACCCUUAUCUUUAGUUACUAGCAGGUCAUGCUGAGGACUCUAGAGAGACUGCCGUCGUAAGAUGUGAGGAAGGUGGGGAUGACGUCAAAUCAGCACGGCCCUUACGUCCGGGGCUACACACGUGUUACAAUGGGGGGUACAGAAGGCGGCUACCUGGUGACAGGAUGCUAAUCCCAAAAACCUCUCUCAGUUCGGAUCGAAGUCUGCAACCCGACUUCGUGAAGCUGGAUUCGCUAGUAAUCGCGCAUCAGCCAUGGCGCGGUGAAUACGUUCCCGGGCCUUGUACACACCGCCCGUCAAGCCAUGAAAGCCGGGGGUACCUGAAGUACGUAACCGCAAGGAGCGUCCUAGGGUAAAACUGGUAAUUGG
rnacentral:rRNA from 1 species